GGGACAGUGGUCUAGACUAGAGGUAUGAUUCUCGCUUUGGGUGCGAGAGGUCCCGGGUUCAAUUCCCGGCUGUCCCC